rnacentral:rRNA from 1 species
UGAGGGAAAGGCGAAAAGAACCCCGGCGAGGGGAGUGAAAAAGAACCUGAAACCGUGUACGUACAAGCAGUGGGAGCACCCUUCGGGGUGUGACUGCGUACCUUUUGUAUAAUGGGUCAGCGACUUAUAUUCUGUAGCAAGGUUAACCGUAUAGGGGAGCCGGAGGGAAACCGAGUCUUAACCGGGCGUUAAGUUGCAGGGUAUAGACCCGAAACCCGGUGAUCUAGCCAUGGGCAGGUU